CAGCUCACGUUGCCGUGAGCCCAGCGGGUGGACCUGGCCACUCCGACAGACCGACAGCGUGGUGCUGCCGUCACAGCCCUGCCGGCUCACGGGAGGCUGUCGCAGGCUCCUUGCAUCCAGCGUCUACCAUCAUCUGCCUCCAGACAGUGGGGAAAAGUGAGAACAUGAGAUUUCCAAUGUUCUACAGUGAUUGAUCUACAAAACCAUCAGUGUGACAUGACAGCAUCACCAGGGGCUGACGGAGCUGUACAGAGUCAUGCAGGAUGGGGGCAGCAGGUGGCACCAGAGGUUUCCCUUUGACAGACUGUCCUCGAGGAACCAGGGGUUCUCAAUUGCACGACAAAGAUGUUCCCCGUCUACGCCGGCGCUGGUCUGAGUGAGGGUUCCAGGCCAGUGUUCUGACCAGGAUGGGAACACAGAGGAUGAGGUUGUGGAAACACGUGGAUGCUGUCACUGCGUCGACUGAAAAGAUUUGGAGGGUCCCUUCUGAAGUUAACAAAGCCACGUUUCAAAUGGCUCUUGCUGGGACCCCAAGUUCUAGUGCAUGGUGACAAGCUGGGAAAGUCACAUGUCGAGGACGACAUCUGUGACGACACAGGAGGAGGAGGACCCUGGGAGUCACAGCGGGGUCAGACGGGUCUCAGCACACGGCUCCACGCAGAUCGGCCGCCACAUGUGGGCUGCGCUCUCUGCAGAUGGAACAGAGAGGCUGGACUGCAGCAGUUCAUGCUUGCCCCAGGUGAACGUGUUAAAGACGUCACUACUGUCGUCUUUAUCCUGCGCUUUCCAACCACGCGUGCUUCUGUGUUCUGUGAUCCAAGCUUGCAACCUUCCUUGACUUCUUCCUUUGUUUCCUUCGUAGGUUUUCUUCAAGUCACCAACUUCCGUCAGUUCUGGAGCAGCCUCUCCCCACCCCAUCUCCCCGGCGUUGCUCAGUCCUGCUCCUUCCCUGUCACUCUCACUGUCACUGUCUCCAAGUCCAGUGACGGCCACAUAGUUCCUCUGUCGGUUUAUUCUUUCAGUCAUCAAUGUUCUUUUUUCUCCACAGGAUCAAAUCCGUAGGGCCCCCGAAAUUUGGCAAUGCCCCACCCUCCUCCUAGUCUUCAGUACCAAUAUCCCAAACAACACGUGCAUGGUCUUUCUCAUCGUAAAUCUUGGUCAUGGAGCUUCCCCGAAAUGAGAUCCCCUCCUCUCUCAUAUGUACUAAAGUGAACUGGCCUCGAGGCUCAGCUGCUUUCCACCUGCUAACGGAGAAAUCUCUGAUCGUGGCAGCACCAGCGUCUCGUGCACGGGAAGCAAGGCCGCUUCGAACACACCUCAUUCAGCGCCCAGGCUGCCUGCUCCUGCCCUGGCCCGUGGCUCUCCCUGAGAACAGGACUUCCCACUGGGAGGCAGGAGUUUCUGGACUGUGGGUCCCACGUUCCUGCGUAGAGAUGAAAUGCUGAGUGAUCAGUAAGAACUGUUCGAUUUAAUUGAAACCUGGUGCUACUUCCAACCCCGCAGAGCAGCAAGACCCUCCCAGAACUCUGAACCCGCAGCCCCUGGGGUUAUUUGGGGCGUCCCUCAGAGUGGGGGAUUCCUGAAGCCCAGAGCUGGCGGGAGUCAGAGUAAGGCGCAGACUCGGUGUGGAGCCUGAUGGUGGGUCCUCUCGGAGGAGCUCACCUGCCUCACCUUGGAGCUUGGAGAACCGGAAUUCCGGGCCCCCGGCCUUCUGGUCGGACACCCCAGGUGGUGGUGUCACGUUACAGUUCCAGACUCUCUCAGCAGCACGCUCCUCAUCUCCCAAGCCCCCUAACACCUCUCUGUUUCCACCCCCACAGGAACCGCGUGUCCCCUGUGCUCAGCUUCUAAAUCAAGAGCCAGAGGAAGAUGGGGGAUGCGACACCUGAAAGUCCCCGAGGUCAUUUGGGGCCAGCGUCUCACAUCGGGUUCCAGAAUCAACAAGUCGGUGUGCUAGGGUUUACUCUCCAUCUGUUUUCUUAGAAAAAACAGUCAGACGCUUCGUUCCAACAGGACUCCCUCCCGCUGACUCUGUGACGUUAACUGUAGAAACAGCCACGACGUUGAAAGGUUUGAAGACUCAGACCCACACGGCUAAAGAAAAGGAAAGGACAGUUUUCUUUGGUUUUAUUGCUAAAUACGCUUAUACGUAUGACACAAUCACACGAUUCUACACAACACACUUACACAACAGAUAAUUAACACACCAUGAGAAGGCCAAACAAACCGUAGAUAUGAGGUAUCGUUUCUAAGUUCCCCAAUUUUAUGAAGCAAAACAUAUUGACCUACAGCCAAAAUUAUCAUUUGAACAGUCAGCUAAACACACCGUUUAAGAAAAGGAUUAUAAAGCUCUUUGUACUCAUAAAUAAUCAAAUCCAAUCUCACAGUAUAAAAGAGUUUUAGUAGUUGUGAAAUAAUAUAAAAAUGUGAAGUUGUGGCUUUUUAAAGUUCGAUUCACCUACAAUAGCACGUAUACUGUGUCGGUGACGGAUAUUUGAGAUUUAAAGUAUUGGUAACACAGACAUAAUCAGACUUAAACAUUUUAAUGUUUUGUGGUACUUUUCACCCAGAUAGUAACUCACUACUUUGUGAUUAUUAGUAUAAAUAACGAGGUGUAUCCUGUGUAUUUCGUUCUUGUAAUAAACGUUCGCUGAAUGCUGUUGCCCA
rnacentral:lncRNA from 1 species